CGGUACAACGAGUCGCAAGCUCGCGAGAGUAAGCUAAUCUCUUAAAGCCGUUCUCAGUUCGGACUGUAGGCUGCAACUCGCCUACACGAAGUCGGAAUCGCUAGUAAUCGCGGAUCAGCAUGCCGCGGUGAAUACGUUCCCGGGCCUUGUACACACCGCCCGUCACACCAUGGGAGUUUGUAACGCCCAAAGUCGGUGGCCUAACCUUUAUGGAGGGAGCCGCCUAAGGCGGGACAGAUGACUGGGGUGAAGUCGUAACAAGGUAAC
rnacentral:rRNA from 1 species